ACGGAAGGCAGCAGUGAGGAAUAUUGGUCAAUGGACGCAGGUCUGAACCAGCCAAGUCGCGUGAGGGAUGGCGGUCCUAUGGAUUGUAAACCUCUUUUGUCGGGGAGUAACGUGCGGUACGUGUACCGUAUUGAGAGUACCCGAAGAAAAAGCAUCGGCUAACUCCGUGCCAGCAGCCGCGGUAAUACGGAGGAUGCGAGCGUUAUCCGGAUUUAUUGGGUUUAAAGGGUGCGCAGGCGGGCUGCUAAGUCUCCGGUGAAAUGUCAGGGCUCAACCUUGGCACUGCCGGAGAUACUGGCGGCCUUGAGAGUGGCGGAGGUAUCCGGAAUGUGUGGUGUAGCGGUGAAAUGCAUAGAUAUCACACAGAACACCGAUUGCGAAGGCAGGAUACCAUACCAUAUCUGACGCUCAGGCACGAAAGCGUGGGGAUCGAACAGGAUUAGAUACCCUGGUA
rnacentral:rRNA from 1 species